GCCGGCGUGGUGAAAUUGGUAGACACGACAGACUCAAAAUCUGUUGUCCGCAAGGACGUGUCGGUUCAAGUCCGACCGCCGGUA
rnacentral:tRNA from 1 species